rnacentral:rRNA from 1 species
GGCUCAGGACGAACGCUGGCGGCGUGCUUAACACAUGCAAGUCUACGAGAACGAGGUAGCAAUAUCUCUAUUAAAGUGGCGCACGGGUGCGUAACACGUAAGCAAUCUACCUUUGGGUCUGGAAUAACUUCGAGAAAUCGGGGCUAAUACCGGAUAAUGCAGCGGCACCGCAUGGUGAUGUUGUUAAAGUUUAAGUAAUGCCUUUAGAUGAGCUUGCGUCUGAUUAGCUAGUUGGUAGAGUAAUAGCCUACCAAGGCAACGAUCAGUAGCUGGUCUGAGAGGAUGAUCAGCCACACUGGAACUGAGACACGGUCCAGACUCCUACGGGAGGCAGCAGUGAGGAAUAUUGGGCAAUGCCCGCAAGGGUGACCCAGCAACGCCGCGUGGAGGAUGAAGGCCGUAAGGUUGUAAACUCCUGUUAGAGGAGAAGAAUAGUACCGAUUGGAUCGGUAUUUGACUGUACCCUCAGAGAAAGCCCCGGCUAACUACGUGCCAGCAGCCGCGGUAAUACGUAGGGGGCAAGCGUUGUCCGGAUUUACUGGGUGUAAAGGGCGCGCAGGCGGGAUAGCAAGUCAGAGGUGAAAUCCUACAGCUUAACUGUAGAACUGCCUUUGAUACUGUUAUUCUUGAGUUCGGGAGAGAGAGACGGAAUUCCAGGUGUAGUGGUGAAAUACGUAGAUAUCUGGAAGAACACCAGUUGCGAAGGCGGUCUCUUGGUCCGAUACUGACGCUGAGGCGCGAAAGCGUGGGGGAGCAAACAGGAUUAGAUACCCUGGUAGUCCACGCUGUAAACGAUGAAUACUAGGUGUUGGGUUUUUAACUCAGUGCCGCAGCUAACGCAUUAAGUAUUCCACCUGGAAGUACGAUCGCAAGGUUGAAACUCAAGGAAUUGACGGGGGCCCGCACAAGCAGUGGAGCAUGUGGUUUAAUUCGAUGCAACGCGAGAC